GUUUGUUUGGAGUUAUAAAGAAUUUGACCUGCCCCCUGAUUAAUAAUUAAAGGGCCGCAGUAUUAUAACUGUGCAAAGGUAGCGUAAUCAUUAGGUUUUUAAUUGGAAUCUUGCAUGAAUGGUUGGACAAGAGAAAGACUCUCUUUAUAUUAAAUUUUGAAUUUAACUUUUAAGUGAAAAGGCUUAAAUAUUCUAAAGGGACGAUAAGACCCUAUAAAACUUUACAUUGAGAUUAAUUUUGAUUGAAUUUGUAAAAUAAGAAUUUUAUUUGGUUAUUUGUUAUGUUGGGGAGACAUAAGUAAAAUAGUAUUUUAACUGCUUAAUAAUUAUACAAUUAUUAGUGAGCAAUAGAAGAUCCUUUUU
rnacentral:rRNA from 1 species